rnacentral:rRNA from 1 species
AGUCACUGACAUUAGGAUACCCGCGUAGUCCCAGCCGUAAACUAUGCGCGUUAGGUGUACUGGUGACCACGAGUCACCGGGGUGCCGAAGGGAAACCGUGAAGCGUGCCGCCUGGGAAGUACGGUCGCAAGGCUGAAACUUAAAGGAAUUGGCGGGGGAGCACCACGAACGGGUGGAGCCUGCGGUUUAAUUGGACUCAACGCCGGAAAUCUCACCGGAUAGGACAGACAUAUGAUAGUCGGGCUGAAGACUCUACUUGAUGAUCUG